rnacentral:lncRNA from 1 species
CAUGCCUCUGGGUUGUGCUGCCCUGCCUCAGAGCCAGCUGACUAUGGACUGAAGCCUUUAGAAAUCGUGACCCAAAGUAAACCUGUCCUCCUUUAAGUUGUGAGUGUUGGGUAUUGCGUCUCAGUGACAGAAUGUGACUAAGACAAAAUCUAUUCAAAAUGGAUGCACAGAGGGCACAAACAAUGUGUACACUCACCGGUCAAGUCUUCUUCCACGUGUAAUAUCUGUCUCACAACAUCAGUGAUUUAAUUCUGGAAGAAACAGGAGGAAAGGCAGAAGGACUUGCUAGAAGACACACGAAAGCAG